rfam:Rattus norvegicus chromosome 12, whole genome shotgun sequence.
GGGGAUUUAGCUCAGAGGUAGAGCGCUUGCCUAGCAAGCGCAAGGCCCUGGGUUCAGUCCCCA